AACUCUUAACAAUGGAUAUCUUGGUUCUCGCAACGAUGAAGAACGCAGCGAAAUGCGAUACGUAGUGUGAAUUGCAGGGCUCAGUGAAUCAUCGAGACUUGA
rnacentral:rRNA from 1 species